UCCAUUGGCUAUUGUGGAGUGUGGACCAACAGAGUUGUUCCAUAUAUACAACUCUGACGACAAUGGUUGCAUGUGGAGCGUUGGCAGUAGGUAGCUAGCGAGUGGUACAUAUAUAUCUCAGUGAUAAAAUUGCCAUAUGUAGUUAAUUAUAACCUUUAUUAUAGGCACCAGCACACAUUACAAGACAUAUUACGUGUGAUACAAUACUAAGAACACUGAGGCACAGGCUGUGGCAUAUACGUAGCCCUUAGAUAGAGCAUACAUAGGCCUAUCUAGCCAUACGUGUGUACAUGCACGCGUGUACACAGUACACACAGACGCAAUCCUUUAUUGACCAAGCAAGUAACAAACAUUAAUAUAGACACACACUACAGGGAUGUGGUAGUUGUCAUAGGUGCAUUUGUCAUCCAUCCAACGUGUUGAUCAGCAGCACCUGUGGCAGUCGCCGUGCCACUCGCAGCACGAGCCCUCAUGACCGUGGCAGUAACGCC
rnacentral:lncRNA from 1 species